GUGGGGAAUAUUGCACAAUGGGCGAAAGCCUGAUGCAGCAACGCCGCGUGAGCGAUGAAGGCCUUUGGGUCGUAAAGCUCUGUCCUUGGGGAAGAAAACAAUGACGGUACCCUUGGAGGAAGCCCCGGCUAACUACGUGCCAGCAGCCGCGGUAAUACGUAGGGGGCAAGCGUUAUCCGGUAUUAUUGGGCGUAAAGAGUGCGUAGGUGGUCUUGUAAGCGCGGGGUGAAAGGCUAUGGCUUAACCAUGGUAAGCCUUGCGAACUGUAAGACUUGAGUGGAGGAGAGGAAAGCGGAAUUCCUAGUGUAGCGGUGAAAUGCGUAGAUAUUAGGAGGAACACCAGUGGCGAAGGCGGCUUUCUGGACUGUAACUGACACUGAGGCACGAAAGCGUGGGGAGCAAACAGGAUUAGAUACCCUGGUAGUCC
rnacentral:rRNA from 1 species